GUCUACGGACCAAAGGGGGCUUCGGCUCUCGCCUUUAGAUUGGCCCAAGUGGGAUUAGCUAGUUGGUGAGGUAAUGGCUCACCAAGGCAACGAUCCCUAGCUGGUCUGAGAGGAUGAUCAGCCACACUGGAACUGAGACACGGUCCAGACUCCUACGGGAGGCAGCAGUGGGGAAUAUUGCACAAUGGGCGAAAGCCUGAUGCAGCCAUGCCGCGUGUGUGAAGAAGGCCUUCGGGUUGUAAAGCACUUUCAGUCAGGAGGAAAGGGUGUGAGUUAAUACCUCACAUCUGUGACGUUACUGACAGAAGAAGCACCGGCUAACUCCGUGCCAGCAGCCGCGGUAAUACGGAGGGUGCGAGCGUUAAUCGGAAUUACUGGGCGUAAAGCGUACGCAGGCGGUUUGUUAAGCGAGAUGUGAAAGCCCCGGGCUCAACCUGGGAAUUGCAUUUCGAACUGGCAAACUAGAGUGUGAUAGAGGGUGGUAGAA
rnacentral:rRNA from 1 species